rnacentral:rRNA from 1 species
UAGGGAAUCUUCGGCAAUGGACGGAAGUACUGACCGAGCAACGCCGCGUGAGUGAAGAAGGUUUUUCGGAUCGUAAAGCUCUGUUGUAAGAGAAGAACGAGUGUGAGAGUGGAAAGUUCACACUGUGACGGUAUCUUACCAGAAAGGGACGGCUAACUACGUGCCAGCAGCCGCGGUAAUACGUAGGUCCCGAGCGUUGUCCGGAUUUAUUGGGCGUAAAGCGAGCGCAGGCGGUUAGAUAAGUCUGAAGUUAAAGGCUGUGGCUUAACCAUAGUACGCUUUGGAAACUGUUUAACUUGAGUGCAAGAGGGGAGAGUGGAAUUCCAUGUGUAGCGGUGAAAUGCGUAGAUAUAUGGAGGAACACCGGUGGCGAAAGCGGCUCUCUGGCUUGUAACUGACGCUGAGGCUCGAAAGCGUGGGGAGCAAACAGGAUUAGAUACCCUGGUAGUCCACGCCGUAAACGAUGAGUGCUAGGUGUUAGACCCUUUCCGGGGUUUAGUGCCGUAGCUAACGCAGUAAGCACUCCGCCUGGGGAGUACGACCGCAAGGU